CUUGGACUCUCAGGAGGUGGCUUUCCUGAAGUCAGGCUCUGGGUCCUCAGCUCAUGCCUCAGCUCUGGCCUCAACCCAUGCCUCAGCGACAGCCAAGCUACCAGCCAGUGCCUCAGCCACAGCCAAGCUACAAACCCACGCCACAACCCUGCUACCAGACCAUGCCUCAGCCACAACCAAGCUACGAGCCCAAGCCCAUGCCUCAGCUCCAGCCACAACCAAGCUACCAGCCUAUGCCUCAGCCACAGCCAAGCUUCCAGCCCAGGCCUCAGCUCCGGCCUCAGCCCAUGCCUUAGCCACAACCCAGCUACCAGCCCAAGUCCACGCCCCAGCUCCUUUGUCGGUGGUCCAGCCUACACCUGCCAGUGGUCCCCAGUCGGUGGCCCGGUCAACACCUGCCAGUGGUCCUCAGUCGGCGACCUGGUCGACACCUGCCAGUGGUCCUCAGUCGGAGGCCCGGUUGACACCUGCCAGUGGUCCUCAGUCAGCGGCCCGGUCGACACCUGCCAGUGGUCCUCAGUCGGCAGCCAAGCAACGCCAAUCCCUGCUCCUCGGUCGGAGGCCCGGCCGAGUCCAGUCCCUGCUCCUCAGUCGGUGGCCCGGCUGAGUCCAGUGCCAAGUCCAGUGCCAAGUCCAGUGCCUGCUCCUUGGUCGGAGGCCUGGCCGAGUCCCGUGCCUGCUCCUCGGUCGGAGGUCUGGCCAAGCCCCUUGCCAAGUCCCGUGCCUGCUCCUCGGUCGGAGGUCUGGCUAAGCCCCUUGCCAAGUCCAGUGCCUGUUCCUCGGUCGGUGGCCCGGCCUUCCCCGCCUUCCUCGCCGGCUUCCAGUGGGUUCCAGCCCACGCCGCCUCCGCCGGCCUCCAAUGGGUCCCAGCCCCCGCCGCCUCCGCCGGCCUCCAGAGCGCCUUCACCGUCAUUGCUGGUCUCCAGAGUGCCCUCGCCUUUGUCUUCGCCACAGACCUCCAGAGCGCCCUUGUCUUUGACACAGACCUCCAGAGCGCCUUCGCCUUCAUCACAGACCUCCAGAGCGCCUUCACCUUUGUCACAGACCUCCAGAGCGCCUUCACCUGCGUCUUCGUCACAGACCUCCAGAGCGCCUUCGUCUUCGCCACAGCCCUCCAGAGCGCCUUCGUCUUCGCCACAGCCCUCCAGAGCGCCUUUGCCCCCGCCGUCGACCUCCAGAGUGCCUCAGCCCUCAGACAUGAACCAGUGUGAACGGAAAAGCCGGCUUCGCAUAUCGAGGGCAUGUCGAUCAGACGGUUAG
rnacentral:lncRNA from 1 species